rnacentral:lncRNA from 1 species
CUAGCGGUUAGAGGGGGGAGGCAGGUAGCCUAGCGGUUAGAGGGGGGAGGCAGGUAGCCUAGCGGUUAGAGGGGGGAGGCAGGUAGCCUAGCGGUUAGAGGGGGGAGGCAGGUAGCCUAGCGGUUAGAGGGGGGAGGCAGGUAGCCUAGUGGUUAGAGUGUUGGACUAGUAACCGAAAGGUUGCUGGAUCGAAUCCCCCGAGCUGACAAGGUAAAAAUCUGUCGUUCUGCCCCUGAACAAGGCAGUUAACCCACUGUUCCCUGGUAGGCCGUCAUUGUAAAUAAAAAUUUGUUCUUAACUGACUUGGCUAGUUAAAUAAAAAUAAUAUCCUAUGCCUUUGGUGUUGAGAAUCUGCAGUUACUGUAAUGGACCAUUGGGGGGCAGUGUCGUCCCUGGAGUACACCACAAAGAGAUCAGGAGAGGUGACCCAGGUCAUGAAGAGAGAAGCCAGAUAAUCAGCCUAGUUAUUCUGAGAGAGUUGGGC